AAAGUUUGACAGACAAUCGCCGGCGGCAUGCGGCCGCGGGAGGAAAGUCCGGGCUCCGCAGGGCAGGAUGCUGGAUAACGUCCAGUCGGCGCGAGCCGAAGGAUAGUGCCACAGAAAUGGACCGCCGAUGAGCUUAUCCCCACAAAGUGACGUUAUGCUUCGAAGCAUAUUCCGAUUACUUUGCGGGGGCCCCGAAAGGAUUAAACCAGAGGGGCAGAGCAACAGGCAAGGGUGGAACCGUGGUGUAAGAGACCACGAGGAGCAUGGGUGACCCUGUUCCUGGUAAACCCCAUCCGGAGCAAGACCUAAGAGAACGCGCGCGGCAGGCGAUUGCCGGCCGCAAGCCCUUGCCCGGGGCGCGUUGGGUUGGUCGCUUGAGCCGUUCAGCAAUGGACGGCCUAGAAAGAUGAUUGUCGCUUCAAUACGUGGGAGGAUGGCACCCAGCCGUCCGCGAUACCACCAGAAGUACAGAACCCGGCUUACGGCAAACUUUCCGG
rnacentral:RNase_P_RNA from 1 species